rnacentral:lncRNA from 1 species
CUAAAGGUGUGGGUUCUGAGAACAGGGCUCACGAGUCCAGGGAUUCAUAUCCAGCGUUGAAAAGCUGAAAGUUGAGACGGCACUGAGCCCUCCCACAUGCACUAUGCACUAGAUGAGAAUUAUUUCCGAGGAUAUGAGUGGUGGUUGAUGAAAGAAGCUAAGAAGAGGAAUCCCAAUAUUACACUCAUUGGGUUGCCAUGGUCAUUCCCUGGAUGGCUGGGAAAAGGUUUCGACUGGCCUUAUGUCAAUCUUCAGCUGACUGCCUAUUAUGUCGUGACCUGGAUUGUGGGCGCCAAGCGUUACCAUGAUUUGGACAUUGAUUAUAUUGGAAUUUGGAAUGAGAGGUCAUAUAAUGCCAAUUAUAUUAAGGUUUUUGGAGAAUAGGUGGUA